GACAGAGGGUGCAAACGUUGUUCGGAAUUACUGGGCGUAAAGCGCGUGUAGGCGGCUGUGCAAGUCGGGUGUGAAAGCCCCGAGCUCAACUCGGGAAGUGCAUUCGAUACUGCGCAGCUAGAGUCCCGGAGAGGAUGGUGGAAUUCUCGGUGUAGAGGUGAAAUUCGUAGAUAUCGAGAGGAACACCGGUGGCGAAGGCGGCCAUCUGGACGGUGACUGACGCUGAGACGCGAAAGCGUGGGGAGCAAACAGG
rnacentral:rRNA from 1 species